rnacentral:rRNA from 1 species
GUCUACGGCCAUGCCACCCUGAAUGUGCCUGAUCUCGUCUGAUCUUGGAAGCUAAGCAGGGUUGGGUCUAGUUAGUACUAGGAUGGGAGAUCACCUAGGAAUACCAGGUGCUGGAGGCA